rnacentral:rRNA from 1 species
GAUGAACGCUAGCGGCAGGCCUAAUACAUGCAAGUCGGACGGGAUUCAGGAGCUUGCUUCUGAUGAGAGUGGCGCACGGGUGCGUAACACGUAUGUAACCUACCUUUAUCAGGGGGAUAGCCUCUCGAAAGAGAGAUUAAGCCCGCAUAAAAUCACAGCACAGCAUUGUGUAAUGAUCAAAUAUUUAUAGGAUAAAGAUGGGCAUGCGGAACAUUAGCUAGAUGGCGGGGUAACGGCCCACCAUGGCGACGAUGUUUAGGGGAUCUGAGAGGAUGGCCCCCCACACUGGUACUGAGACACGGACCAGACUCCUACGGGAGGCAGCAGUAAGGAAUAUUGGUCAAUGGGCGGAAGCCUGAACCAGCCAUGCCGCGUGCAGGAAGACGGCCCUACGGGUUGUAAACUGCUUUUAUACGGGAAUAAACCCAGAUACGUGUAUCUGGCUGAAUGUACUGUAAGAAUAAGGAUCGGCUAACCCCGAG